rnacentral:rRNA from 1 species
UCCAGCCUGCCCAGUGACAGAAUUUAACGGCCGCGGUACCCUAACCGUGCGAAGGUAGCAUAAUCACUUGUUCUUUAAAUGAGGACUUGUAUCAACGGCAUCACGAGGGUUAAACUGUCUCCUUUUUUCCAUCAGUGAAACUAAUCUCCCCGUGAAGAAGCGGGGAUGAUCUUAUAAGACGAGAAGACCCCAUGGAGCUUUAAACCCAACUACACUCCUCCUUAGCUUUACCUCUAAACUCCUAGGAUUUUGUAUGUUCUGGUUUUAGGUUGGGGUGACCGCGGAGUAUAAAUUAGCCUCCACAGUGAAUAGAUUUUUCUCUUUAUCCAAGACUAACACUUCUAAGAAUUAGCACUCUAACAUAAAAUGAUCCGAUAUUCGAUCAACGAACCAAGUUACCCUGGGGAUAACAGCGCAAUCCACUUCAAGAGCCCCUAUCGACAAGUGGGUUUACGACCUCGAUGUUGGAUCAGGGUAUCCUAGUGGUGCAGCAGCUACUAAAGGUUCGUUUGUUCAACGAUUAAA